CAGUAUUUUGACUGUGCGAAGGUAGCAUAAUCAUUAGUUUUUUAAUUGAAAGCUGGAAUGAAUGGUCGGAUGAGAAGAAAGCUGUCUCACUUCAAUUUAAAUUGAAUUUUAUUUCUAGGUUAAAAAGCCUAGAUUUUAUAGAAAGACGAGAAGACCCUAUAGAGUUUAAUAUGUUUAAUUUGUAGUUGUUUUAGGUUUAUAUUUCAAUUAUUUUUUAAUUUAUUUUGUUGGGGUGACAUAGGAAUUGAAUUAACUUCCUUAGUUUUUACAUUGAUUAAUGGUUAAUUGAUCCUGAUUUUUGGAUUAUAAGAAUUAAUUACCUUAGGGAUAACAGCGUAAUCUUUUUAGAGAGUUCUUAUCGAUAAAAGGGAUUGCGACCUCGAUGUUGGAUUAAAGUUAAAUUUUGGCGCAAAAGCUUUAAGUUUA
rnacentral:rRNA from 1 species